rnacentral:rRNA from 1 species
AUACGGAGGCGGUUAGCGUUGUUCGGAAUUACUGGGCGUAAAGCGCACGUAGGCGGACUGGAAAGUUGGGGGUGAAAUCCCGGGGCUCAACCCCGGAACUGCCUCCAAAACUUCCAAUCUAGAGAUCGAGAGAGGUGAGUGGAAUUCCAAGUGUAGAGGUGAAAUUCGUAGAUAUUUGGAGGAACACCAGUGGCGAAGGCGGCUCACUGGCUCGAUACUGACGCUGAGGUGCGAAAGCGUGGGGAGCAAACAGGAUUAGAAACCCGAGUAGUCC